rnacentral:misc_RNA from 1 species
GUUUUCUUUACUUUUUGGUAUCCGUUUUUCUUUAUAACAAUUAAACAUAUGAAUUCCAAAGAAAUUGAAGUAGGGUUUCGUCCAAGGUACACAUCAGAGUCUGAUAUCCAAGAACAAAAUGCACCCUCGACAUGAUGGUCAGGGAUCUACCAGUACUGUUGACAAAAAUAUGUCACUCAAGACAAUAGCAUACUUAAUUUGUUUAUGUUCUAUAAAAGACUGCAAACAUAUAAACCAAAACAAUAAGCAAAAUGGUAAAACAAAUUUUCAUCCAACAAUCAAUUUAGAUCAAAUAGCUUAAUGUGAAGAAAGAAAAUAAAAUCAACAUAAGAUUACCAGUACAUUGCACAAUAAAUAGAGUGGAAAAAACGCGUCACAUAAAAUUAGCAAGUUCAUUAAUCAACAGAGAAUAAAAGAGGCACCUGUCUUGAUGCUAUAGGUAGAGGCAGCUGUAUCAAGGAAAGAAAUUGCUGGGCCUUCCGCAUACUUAUCCCAUUCACUUACAAAUAUAUGCUCAUGCGUGCUCCAAAUAAUUGUGGGCAAUGAUAGAUCCUCCAAAAGCCAACUUUAAUGUUGCUGUCUUGUGGAACUUUUCAUAUAAAUUCUUCCUCUAGCAUCAAUUCUGCUCAUCUCUGCAGGAAUCCCAUUGCCUGGUAUACAUUAUUGAGAGUGGCAUCUGCUAUCCCUCCAGCUUUAGUGACGCCUUCCUCCAAAACUCUAUCCAAAUAAGCUGAAUCAGAUAUUAUUUCCCCAUAAC